AUUGAACGCUGGCGGCAGGCCUAACACAUGCAAGUCGAGCGAGCGGCGGACGGGUGAGUAAUGUAUGGGGACUGCCCGAUAGAGGGGGAUAACUACUGGAAACGGUGGCUAAUCCCGCAUACUAUCGGAUAACCCAUAUGGGAUUAGCUAGUAGGUGGGGUAAAGGCUCACCUAGGCGACGAUUCCUCGCUGGUCUGAGAGGAUGAUCAGCCACAGUGUGAUGUAGACACGGGAAAGACUUGUACGGAUGCAGCAGUGUGGAAUAGUGGACAAUGGGCGAAAGCCGGAUGCAGCGAUGCCGCGUGUAUGAAGAAGGCCUUAGGGUUGUAAAGUACUGUCAGCGGGGAGGCGUUACCCGUAGAAGAAGCACCGGCGAACUCCGUGCCAGCAGCCGCGGUAAUAC
rnacentral:rRNA from 1 species